CACAGCCACUGGAGCAGGUUAGAGCUGAGCCCGACUGAAGGGAGGACAGGAAGGAUGCAGAAGUCUGAAGUAAGGGUGAAGCUGGCUUGGGAAGUUUCUGGCACGCUGCAUGCCAUACCACCAGACUGCAAUGGUGCCCACCUGAGAAGUGCCAGAACUAGGUUCCAGUGUGUUCCAGCUGAAAAAAAAAGCCCGGAUUAAGGCUAUUCCGCCAGCCUGAAAUAAUGGCAUUCAUUCCUACAGCACAUGUGUACAUGAUACUGUAUUACUGUCACAGGAUCACCAGGACAUUAACUAUAAGCUAUAGGGUAUUUUGAUCAUCUGGAAAGACCCUAGGAAAUCUGUUCAU